CUUUAAUGAGCCUUUCGCCGUUUCACUGUAUCAACCACACUUCUUCUUGUACGAUGUAAUGGCGGUUGACAAGCCAUCGACCGCACUUAUAUCUGCAUGGCUAAAUCUGUAUUUGCCACAUUACUGCAUGAUCAUGGAGGCCAGACAGAGCUAGGCCAAAACGCGAAGGCGUCUUGAACGCGGCUCCCAUGCAAGCCGACGACAGGGUAACGUAAGUUGUUGACUGUCCUGUCAGGAUUCCUGAGUUGGCCACUUUUUUGGGAAAAGCUGCCGAUAUAUUUCGCGGAGCAGAUGGAGAGCGGCGUGCAAAUAGCGUCUUUGACCUGAAGGAUAAAUCGUGUUCUCUGACUCCUGAUGACAGUUGGCAGCUUAGCGCCCCAGCAAGAGGUCAGGGGUCACAGAGCUCACAGUCAGCUCCUGGUUUAGCAAAUCAGCGAAGAGGUCCAGCAGCAGCUGUCCUGUUUUCUAGAGAAUGUUUUAAGGACCAUCAAUGGGCCACACUGAAUCAGGCCCACCAGCACUGAAAAUACAAGCCUUUCCUGUUGGGUGAAUCUUCAGCUGCCUUAUGACGUGUGCACUUUUACUUGAAGGCUACUUAUUCAACUGUAUACUUUCAACUUUGAGGACGGACUCCAGACGGGGUUCUCAGGGUCGUGAAAAAAAGGAAGAGGGGUGAAAUCAGCAGUGAUGUAGUGAUGACAGGUAAAACAUUGGAGCACGAGCCGGAGGAAGCGUGCCGCUGACUAUACGCACGUGCCACGCUACGCACCUGCCAAUCAAAGCCCAGCCCGCCCCCCUGUCUGUGCCGAGGACCUCAGCUGGGGGAGGGAGCAGCAUCUACUGGUGUCAUAUCUGUAUGAAACAGUUCAGAGAAAGGAAGGGUCCUAUGAAAUCAGUUUUAAUUUCUCAAAUUUAGUUUCUUUCAUUUUAAUUUUUCUGGACUCAUUUUAAUGGUUAAAUUAAAGAUACACUAUAUUAGUUUUUUUUG